rnacentral:rRNA from 1 species
GAAGCCCUUCGGGGUGGAUUAGUGGCGAACGGGUGAGUAACACGUGGGCAAUCUGCCCUUCACUCUGGGACAAGCCCUGGAAACGGGGUCUAAUACCGGAUACGAGUUCGGGAGGCAUCUCCCGGGCUGGAAAGCUCCGGCGGUGAAGGAUGAGCCCGCGGCCUAUCAGCUUGUUGGUGGGGUAAUGGCCUACCAAGGCGACGACGGGUAGCCGGCCUGAGAGGGCGACCGGCCACACUGGGACUGAGACACGGCCCAGACUCCUACGGGAGGCAGCAGUGGGGAAUAUUGCACAAUGGGCGAAAGCCUGAUGCAGCGACGCCGCGUGAGGGAUGACGGCCUUCGGGUUGUAAACCUCUUUCAGCAGGGAAGAAGCGCAAGUGACGGUACCUGCAGAAGAAGCGCCGGCUAACUACGUGCCAGCAGCCGCGGUAAUACGUAGGGCGCAAGCGUUGUCCGGAAUUAUUGGGCGUAAAGAGCUCGUAGGCGGCUUGUCACGUCGGGUGUGAAAGCCCGGGGCUUAACCCCGGGUCUGCAUCCGAUACGGGCAGGCUAGAGUGUGGUAGGGGAGAUCGGAAUUCCUGGUGUAGCGGUGAAAUGCGCAGAUAUCAGGAGGAACACCGGUGGCGAAGGCGGAUCUCUGGGCCAUUACUGACGCUGAGGAGCGAAAGCGUGGGGAGCGAACAGGAUUAGAUACCCUGGUAGUCCACGCCGUAAACGUUGGGAACUAGGUGUUGGCGACAUUCCACGUCGUCGGUGCCGCAGCUAACGCAUUAAGU